UUUCCGUAGGUGAACCUGCGGAAGGAUCAUUAUUGUAUAACCGAGGUGCGAGGGCUGUCGCUGACCCGAAAGGUCGUGCACGCCCGAGUGCCCUCACACACAUCCAACUCACCCCUAUGUGCACCACCGCGUGGGUCCCCCUUUGGCUUGUUCGGAGGGGGGCUUACGUUUUCACACAAACUUUGUAUGCAGUGUAGAAUGCAUUUUUUGUUUUUGCGAUCACGCAAUCAAUACAACUUUCAACAACGGAUCUCUUGGCUCUC
rnacentral:misc_RNA from 1 species